CUCUACCCUCGGGCCGGUGUCGGAUGAACCUGUCGAGUCGACCUCGUCGGAUGAGCUCCUCGAUCUCAUCUCGGAGCUGGAUGCAUUCCUCCAUGUCGUGGUCGUGGUCGCAGUGGUAGAGACAGAACUUGUUAGGGUUGCGCUUCCCGGGGUGUGUGCGCAUCCUCUCUGGCCUAGGGAGCUGCUCCCUGACCUCCAUCAGUACCUGGGUCUUCAAGGCAUUGAGGGGGGUGUAGUUGCAGAACAUCCC
rnacentral:lncRNA from 1 species